rnacentral:rRNA from 1 species
AAUGUUUUCAUUAAUCAAGAACGAAAGUUAGAGGUUCGAAGGCGAUCAGAUACCGCCCUAGUUCUAACCGUAAACUAUGCCUACUAGAUGUAUGAAUUAUUAGUUAUAAUAAUUUAUGCAUCUUCUCGGAAACGAAAGUCUUUCGGUUCCGGGGGAAGUAUGGUUGCAAAGCUGAAACUUAAAGGAAUUGACGGAAGGGCACCACCAGGAGUGGAGCCUGCGGCUUAAUUUGACUCAACACGGGAAAACUCACCCGGGCCGGACACUAUAAGGAUUGACAGAUUGAUAGCUCUUUCAUGAUUUAGUGGUUGGUGGUGCAUGSCCGUUCUUAGUUCGUGGAUAUGAUUUGUCUGGUUGAUUCCGAUAACGAGCGAGACUUUUAUGUUAUAUUAAAUAUUAUUAUUUUGUUUAUUUUAAUAUAAAUAAUUAAUAUUUUAAUAACAGAUUAAUAGUGUUUAACUAUUUGAGAGAGAGCGAUAACAGGUCUGUGAUGCCCUUAGAUGUCCGGGGCUGCACGCGCGCUACAAUGUAGUGAUC